rnacentral:rRNA from 1 species
CUAAUACAUGCAAGUCGAGCGGACUUGAUGGAGGAGCUUGCUUUUUCUGAGAGUUAGCGGCGGACGGGUGAGUAACACGUAGGCAACCUGCCCUCAAGACUGGGAUAACUACCGGAAACGGUAGCUAAUACCGGAUAAUUAAAUUCGCUGCAUGGCGGAGUUAUGAAAGGCGGAGCAAUCUGUCACUUGAGGAUGGGCCUGCGGCGCAUUAGCUAGUUGGUGAGGUAACGGCUCACCAAGGCGACGAUGCGUAGCCGACCUGAGAGGGUGAACGGCCACACUGGGACUGAGACACGGCCCAGACUCCUACGGGAGGCAGCAGUAGGGAAUCUUCCGCAAUGGGCGAAAGCCUGACGGAGCAACGCCGCGUGAGUGAUGAAGGUUUUCGGAUCGUAAAGCUCUGUUGCCAGGGAAGAACGUCUCAUAGAGUAACUGCUAUGAGAGUGACGGUACCUUGAGAAGAAAGCCCCGGCUAACUACGUGCCAGCAGCCGCGGUAAUACGUAGGGGGCAAGCGUUGUCCGGAAUUAUUGGGCGUAAAGCGCGCGCAGGCGGUUCUUUAAGUCUGGUGUUUAAACCCGAGGCUCAACUUCGGGACGCACUGGAAACUGGGGAACUUGAGUGCAGAAGAGGAGAGUGGAAUUCCACGUGUAGCGGUGAAAUGCGUAGAUAUGUGGAGGAACACCAGUGGCGAAGGCGACUCUCUGGGCUGUAACUGACGCUGAGGCGCGAAAGCGUGGGGAGCGAACAGGAUUAGAUACCCUGGUAUCCACGCCGUAAACGAUGAAUGCUAGGUGUUAGGGGUUUC